CUUUAUUUUCCAUGGUUAGUUCAAUUAUUCAUGUCACUCCUGGGUACAAACCACUACUGAGGCCCUGUUUAGAAGAGAAUGGCCCCAUCAAGAAGGUUUAAGUCUUCACUUUUAGUUCAUGCGCAGUAAGUUUCAAUAGAGCAGAGAAUGCAAGCAAGCAGUAAGACAAUGGCAAACGUAGCAAAACAAUUUGCUGAAAAAGAGUUAACAAAGUCAGUCAGGUCAGGAGCACAAGCGCAGCUCAGUACUCCACCAUUGUUGUUAUUGUCCUCCUACUCGUGCACGGUCAUUUGGCUGUAAUUGUGAUACACAUGCCUGAAUGUCACCAGCAGCUGAGCUGAGCUGAGUCUUUAGCUUUUUCUAAAAAAGUAGAAAGGGACUCUGUUCAUCAAAUGGAGUUUCGUGAAUCAUUCCACCACAGAGGGACAACGAAGGAAAAGAGUCUUGCAAGUGAUUUGGGGCCCGCUGUGAUGGGAGCACCAGGCACCUAUCAUUUGCAAAGUGUAGCAGGCCAGUGCGAGCAAAGACCUGGAUGAGAGAUUCAAGGCAGGUAGGAGCUGCUUUUGUUUAUUUUGUAAACAGGAAGUAGGGUUUUGAAUUUGAGUCAAGCUGCAAGAGGGAGCAAGUGGAUAGAGAUGUGCUGUUUUGAGUUAAGUGAAACCCAGACAGGCUGCUGCAUUUUGGAUCAUCUGCAGAGGCGUGAAUGUGCAUGCAAGAAGGCCUAGUUACUGUAUGAUAUUACAUGAGCCUGCAUCAGUAGCCAUGUUGCAUGCUUUGAUAGGUCUGAUCCUCCUGAUGUUGUAGAGGGUGAACUGGCACGACUGAGCAACUAAGACCACAUGAACGUUGAAAGUUAGCUGGUCAUCAAUCAUGACACCCAGAUCCCAUGUAGGCAAACUUCCCCCAAAUGACAAAAGAGUCAUUUGGUGGUAGUUCUAAAAGAUAAUAUUGCAGCCAUUACAUUAAGCAGUUUUACUGUGGUAAUACCAAAAAUGAUUGAACCUGUAACAAUUAUUUAAGAGUUAUACAGAAAUUUUCUGCCCCUGCUGAGUUUUAUAGAUCGGCCUUGACUGAGUAUGAGAGUAGAGACAUGCAUGAAAUGGGUGAAUGAAGGCAGGUUUUUUAGUGAAAGUGUGUGCUGACAGAAAGGAUGAGAAGACGGGGGUCUAUGUGUGUGUGUCAGAGAUAGUGUGAAGGCUCCUCCACACUCACUGCAUCAACAGAAUGACUGAAGCUUGCACAAUGUGUCUGUCACCACCAAAAAGCCCUCUGACAUUCUGGGAACAGCAUGUUGGCCUGCAGUUGCUCCCUGGAAUCAAAGUCUCAUCUGCACUUGUCUAGCUCCCACAGCACAGAGUUAACAACUGACCUGACGGAUGGAGCAGAGAAACAGCUGCCGCUCGACAAGGUACUGGUAUGGAAGACGUUAGGGGGUCACGCUCCCAAUGAUGGCCUUAACAGACAUGUCUUCAUGCAGGAAUUACACUGGCCUCUGGUGCUGUUGUUUCACAGGCUUCACAUGCAGACAGACACUAACUGCUGCUUUAAAUCCCUUCAGGAUGUUAAUAUUUUAGUCACGUGAAAGUUUAAGCUGCAUAUAACUUUAUCUUCUUAUCAGGUUAAAAGCAGAAUUACUUCAAGCAAAUUGGAGCUCGAGCAGGGAGACUGUUCAUUCCCAUUCAUGCUUGUCUCUGUCCUGGUUAUCAGCUAACUGUUCUUAAACUCUUAAACCAGCCAGAUUCAGCCUCAACCUUUAUUAGCCAUUUAUCAUUUUACUGUUGCCAAAAACUCUGAUCUGAUUUCCUCUGUUUACAAUCAUUGUUUAAAAUAUUACAACUAACUUAACCCGUCACCCCAGUUCAUGCCAUUAGUGUCCAAAUCCAGCUUCUCAGUUCAUCCUACAUCCUUUCUACUGGUCACUUCUAUCACUAUUCACAAUCACUACUACUGGUGUCUACUCUUCUAUCUCAUCUUGCUCUCAGUCUCUCUAGCACUUAGUACCUGAAGGCAUUACAAUGGGGUCUAACUAUAAAAGCCUUUGCAAAAGAAAAUCACUCAAAUAUUUUCUUUACUUACAAUAUUAAAGGUUUUCUCACAAAGAAAUCUCACCUUAUUGAAAUGUACUUAGACAAUAAAAAUAAAGGUAGUAACUGUCUUUUAAAGGCUUCUGGGAAUCAGAGUUUUAUUGUAUGGAAUAAUUACCAUUCACAACCAAUGAGGUUGAGCACUUUUUAAGUAACCCUUGCUUUAAUAAUGGAGAGUUGUAAUCUAGAGCAAGCUGCCUUAUUUUAAUAAACAAUUAUACAAUUUGUUUUUAAAUCAAGAAUUAGUCUGCACCGUAACCUUCAAGUCUCAUAUUGAAAUAUUGCCAAUGCAGUGAAGUAGAAGGUGCCUAACAUGGAAGUCCUCUAGUAAUGAAAACGGUCGUAAAAGUGCAAAUAUUUCAAUAAUGUUGUAUUCUAUGGCUGUAUAAUGUUUUAAUAUGCAUACAAUACUGCACAAACAUAUGCUUUGUAUAUAGAUAUAUGUAUUUAUAAGCAGUAUUGUUAGUGUCUCCUUCUCCCCAACACACGCUAGACAAACAGCCAGCAGGGAUCAGUUACACAGAGGAACAUAAACAUUUAAAGCCCCUGUGUUUUAUAUAGUUUGACCUUUGACUCCAGCAUAUUAGUAAGGUCAAAAUUUUCACACCUCCCGCAGACCACCCUGGCUCUCCAUGCAGAGUGAGUCAAGUUUGUUUAGGAUUGUUUAUGUUAUUUUAUUAUGCUCAUAAGCAAAACAUGUAUGUGUGCACUGGGUCCAGAUUGAGCUUCUGAAAACAUCAGAGUUUCUCUUUCCCACUACAGCAGCAGCAGAGUGAGUUUUUUUUUGUCAUCCACAGAGGAUGAAUGACUCCCUGGGAAGGAGCCCCUGCGCCAGUCAGUUGACCUGUUUGCAGUGACUGGGGCGGAGGAGGUGGUGGUAGGAUGGGGG
rnacentral:lncRNA from 1 species